rnacentral:rRNA from 1 species
UCCAGACUCCUACGGGAGGCAGCAGUGGGGGAUAUUGCACAAUGGGGGGAACCCUGAUGCAGCGACGCCGCGUGGGUGAAGGAGUGCUUCGGCAUGUAAAGCCCUAUCGGCAGGGAAGAAGCAAGACGGUACCUGACUAAGAAGCCCCGGCUAACUACGUGCCAGCAGCCGCGGUAAUACGUAGGGGGCGAGCGUUAUCCGGAUUCACUGGGUGUAAAGGGAGCGUAGACGGCCAUGCAAGCCAGGGGUGAAAGCCCGGGGCCCAACCCCGGGACUGCCCUUGGAACUGCAUGGCUGGAGUGCAGGAGAGGUAAGCGGAAUUCCUAGUGUAGCGGUGAAAUGCGUAGAUAUUAGGAGGAACACCAGUGGCGAAGGCGGCUUACUGGACUGUAACUGACGUUGAGGCUCGAAAGCGUGGGGAGCAAACAGGAUUAGAUACCCCUGUA